GGUACAAAAUAGCAUUGUGGGUGUGGUUACCAGGUCAUAUAUAAAGGGGCCAUUUUAGGUUAAGGGGCCAUUUAAAUUAAGCUGCACUUACCUGUUGUUGUGACAGGCUUGUGUAGUGUUUUUUCCUUUUGUCUCCUCUGCAGGUUUUCUCACUCAGGAUGGAAGAUUGGCUAGCAGGAGUCAGGGUAGCGGUGCAUGAGAGGGGCGUCAAGUGGCUGCAGGGCC